AUACGUAGGGGGCGAGCGUUAUCCGGAUUCACUGGGUGUAAAGGGAGCGUAGACGGAAAGACAAGCCAGAUGUGAAAAUCCGGGGCUCAACCCCGGACCUGCAUUUGGAACUGUUUAUCUGGAGUACCGGGUGGGCAGGCGGAAUUCCUGGUGUAGCGGUGAAAUGCGUAGAUAUCAGGAGGAACACCGGUGGCGAAGGCGGCCUGCUGAACGGAUAUGGACGUGGAGGGUCAAAGGCAUGGGAGACAACCAGAAUAAAAUACCCGGGUGUCCUACGCCGUAAACGAUGAAUAUUAGGUGGCAGGCCACAGAGGGGUGUGGUGCCGAAGCGAACGCAUUAAGUAUUCCGCCUGGGGAGUACGUUCGCAAGAAUGAAACUCAAAUGAAUUGACGGGG
rnacentral:rRNA from 1 species